UUCGGCGCCUGGCCACGCUCGGUCCCGCCUUCUCCCGGGUCGUAGAGGACACAGCCCGGGCCUGGCCGGCCCUUGGGCCUCAGGCGCCUCUGCGACCUGAAACCUGGGCUUGGCCGCCGUCCGCGCGCCAGGGCGGUUGAGGUUUAGGUGUCUGUCGCUCGCCGCUUCCCCGACCAGCGGUCGCUUGGGAAGGGGCGCGGGGAGUGGUCAGGGGAGCGGAGGCCGGGACCCGGGGACCCUCGGCCGGGUCGCGGCACGGCCUUCAAGUCCGUACGCUCUGGAAGGCAACGGAAGCGCUUCCACCCCUCGAUUUGCUAGCAUCAUGGCCGCCUUUUUGGUUUUCGAUUGUAAAGCUAGUGCUUGUCGGUGUUGGCGGCAGCUGCAGCUGAGGUCCUGAAAGCAGUUCGUCUCCGCCUGUGUGCAGAACACCGAAAUAAUCAAUUUUUCUCCUCGCCUCUGUUUUCAGCCGACGGCUUUGAUUAAAUAUCACCAGCGGUGCUAAUGGUGGUCUCCGUGCAGGCUUUCUAAAAUGCAUUACCGACACCAGUGUUGGUGGAAUAUUUCUGUCUUGAAGUUUUUGCUUUUAAGUGGAUUUUAAUAUCGCACUGUUAGCAUUUCAGGAAGGAUAAACCAGCAUCACUCUCUUGAUUUAUUAAAGAUCUGUUUAGAGUUGGGGCUAAUUUGACUUUUUUUUUUAGCCCUCAAUUGAGCUUUUUUUUUUACAAGCAUAAAUGCUCCCAGAUGUUUUAGCCCGAUUGGUAUGGACUUUGCUGUUAAUGAUUUCGUGGUCAGGUAUGCAGCUUUAAUGGAGUUAUUGCAGAAUCACACGUAGGCUCCCUCAACUUGAUUUAGGUCCCUUAGAAAAGUGAAAUGAUGGUGACAGUAUUUUUUAUUUAUUUUUUAUUUAUUUAUUUUUGCGGUACUUAGCAUUUUGUGGUGGUGAAGACUUGUGGAAGUAGAUUCCCCCUAAAUCUGAAUCUUGUGAAUAUGUCUUUUGUGUUGACUGAAGGAAGUAAACUAAUGUAUUGAGUACUUCGUGGCAGGUACUGUGCUACAUACAUUAUUUCAUUUUAUUUGAACAGCCACGUUGAGGGAGGAAAAGAUGGUAUUGUUACUUUUUUCAGGUGAGGAAGUAUCCUGAGGUCAUAGAACUAGAGAGUUAUUCUUAAAAUUGUAGACUUCACAAAACACAGCUCUUUCAGCUAUUUUUAGGAAAACACUCUGCUUUCCUUAGUGUAAUUAAUAAUUGCAGAAUUUUGUGCAUUUUACUGUAUAAAUUAUAACAUGUUUCCGAAGUGUAUUCAAAUUUCAAUCAUAAUUUUGGAAAUACCAUAGAAGACAUGUUUUACCAAGUAUUGUAGCUAGAUAGAAAAAUUAGUUAAAAUUGUUCUUUAAAGAGAUUUUAAUUGAAUCUUUAAUUUUCACUUUCUUUAGGAGCAAAAUGCUGAAUCCGACUAUGAAAAUUAGUAUGAACUCACAGGCUUAGGAGCCAAGAGAGAAUUUAUAUUAGGUGGAGCCUAAAAGAAAUAAGUCCCUAAAAAGUAGUGGAGAGAAAAUAGCAUCAUCUCUCUAUCAUACAUUUCAUUGCUGUUGCACUAGCCAGGAAGUGUGCCAGUGAAUGUGUCUCAUUACGAAAGGUUCAGAAUUUCCCGUCACAUCCUUUGACCGUUUUAACAAGAUUAACUUAUCUAAAAUGUGGACUGAAAAAACUCUUUUAAGUUGAGGACAUGUCACUUGAAAAGAUACCCCCAUCCAAUAAUAUUUCUCCUAUCUGAUACAGUUUUUAAUAGUCUGAAGUUGAUUAGAUCUGGGAACUAAUUCUGUCACUGCUGUAGGCUUGUUUGACCUUCUGACUCUCCAUUGGAAAUGCUAGGUCCUCUUAUUGUCAUUUUCCUUUCCUAAGUGAAAUACAAAUGUAAUUGGAAUUUGAAUCCUAGAUCCAGAUUAUAGCCCUUUAUCAGGUUGAUGACAUACCCUGCUAUUAACCGUCUCCAUUGCACAUUAUUAGCUUUUAAUAAAUAUUGUUUCUGAAUGUGACUAGAGCUCAUGGAUUCAUCUCCAUAGAGACAUUAAUUGAAGCCUUGAGAGUGGAUAAGAUAAGACCUCUGAGAACUAAGCCAAAGGAUUGCCUGCCUUUACUGUGUCAAUAAGGGUAAGUUAUGGAAGAGGACAGAGGAAAUGUGGUCAGAGAGACCAAGAGCUCAUCCAGUAGCUGCACUGUCUCUGCUUCCUUUAGGAAAGGCCACCUGCCUUAGCUUUGAAAUGGCCCAUACCGUACCAGAAGGAGGAAGAGAGAUCCCAGAAGGAUAUAGAUCCUAGGCGUUCUGGAAACUAAGCAGAACCACAGGAGGAGAAAGCUACAGGCUUUUCUGGAUUUGCCUGCCCAGCUGCUCCAUGCCUGGUUGGAGGAGGUACCAGCUGCAUCCUGGAGGCUGGACCCUGCAGAUGGCGCAGCUCUGUGGCUUACCUCGCUGUGGUUGGUGGCCGCAAUGGAGACUGCAGCUCAACUGGAGAGAGUCCGAGAUGGCUUUGGGUUCCCAGUUCUGUGUGUUCCUGUCUGGUUCCUGAACCCAGCUGGAGAAAUAUGUCAGUCCCAACUGGUGAAGUACUGAGAGGAAGCUACACAAAAGAUAGCAAGGUAUUAGUAAUUGUACCUCUGACAUUUUAACCACCUCUGACUUUUCCAUGGAAUGGACAAGUAGUAGUCUCUGUCAGAGCUACAUUUUAAAGGAAAAAAAGAAACUUGAAGUUGAAAACUAUUGAUUAAUUCAUGAUGUUAUUUUGUGUUUACUCAGCUCCUUUAUGUUGACUUGUAAAUUAUUAAUUUAUGAACUGUUAGUCAUCAAUUCAUUGCCUACAUAUCAACAAACAAGUUUUCUUUUUAAUAAAUAAUCUGGUGGCUGGGCACAGUGGUUCCCACCUCUAACCUCAACACAUUGGAAGGGCAAGGUGGGAGGAUUGCUUGAGGCCAGGAGUCUAAGACCAGCCUGGGCAACAUAGCAAGAUCUCAUCUCUACAAAAAAAAGGAAAACAUUGUCUGGGCAUGGUGGCUCAUUUUUGUAG